CUUGUAGGCGGUUUGUCGCGUCUGCCGUGAAAGCCCAGGGCUUAACCCUGGGUUUGCGGUGGGUACGGGCAGGCUAGAGUAUGGUAGGGGAGACUGGAAUUCCUGGUGUAGCGGUGAAAUGCGCAGAUAUCAGGAGGAACACCGAUGGCGAAGGCAGGUCUCUGGGCCAUUACUGACGCUGAGAAGCGAAAGCAUGGGGAGCGAACA
rnacentral:rRNA from 1 species